GUACUUACCUGUCAGGGAGGAUACCAUGAUCAUGAAGGUGUUUUAUGCAGGGCAAGACUCAUCCAUUGCACUUAGGAUGGGCUGACCCCCACAGUUUUCUCAAAUGUGGGGAACUCAACUGACUGCAUAAUUCAUAGUGGGGUAGUAGGUUCAAGUUCUCCAC
ensembl:snRNA U1 U1 spliceosomal RNA